rnacentral:rRNA from 1 species
AUUGAACGCUGGCGGAAUGCUUUACACAUGCGAGUCGAACGGCAGCACGGACUUCGGUCUGGUGGCGAGUGGCGAACGGGUGAGUAAUGUAUCGGAACGUGCCCAGUCGUGGGGGAUAACGUAGUGAAAAUUACGCUAAUACCGCAUACGAUCUAUGGAUGAAAGCGGGGGAUCGCAAGACCUCGCGCGAUUGGAGCGGCCGAUAUCAGAUUAGGUAGUUGGUGGGGUAAAGGCCCACCAAGCCAACGAUCUGUAGCUGGUCUGAGAGGACGACCAGCCACACUGGAACUGAGACACGGUCCAGACUCCUACGGGAGGCAGCAGUGGGGAAUUUUGGACAAUGGGCGAAAGCCUGAUCCAGCCAUUCCGCGUGCAGGAUGAGGGCCCUCGGGUUGUAAACUGCUUUUGUACGGAACGAAAAGGUCUCUCUUAAUACGGGGGGCUCAUGACGGUACCGUAAGAAUAAGCACCGGCUAACUACGUGCCAGCCGCCGCGGUAA